AGGCAGCAGUGGGGAAUAUUGGACAAUGGGCGCAAGCCUGAUCCAGCCACGCCGCGUGAGUGAUGAAGGCCUUCGGGUUGUAAAGCUCUGUGGGGAGGGACGAAAACGGCGCACAAGAAACGGUGCGUCCUUGACGGUACCUCCUUAGCAAGCACCGGCUAACUCUGUGCCAGCAGCCGCGGUAAUACAGAGGGUGCGAACGUUGCUCGGAAUUACUGGGCGUAAAGCGCGUGUAGGCGGGUCGGCAAGUCAGGCGUGAAAUCCCCAGGCUCAACCUGGGAACUGCGCUUGAAACUGCCGGUCUUGAGUAUCGGAGAGGGUGGCGGAAUUCCUGGUGUAGAGGUGAAAUUCGUAGAUAUCAGGAGGAACACCGGUGGCGAAGGCGGCCACCUGGACGAUUACUGACGCUGAGACGCGAAAGCGUGGGGAGCAAACAGGAUUAGAUACCCUGGUAG
rnacentral:rRNA from 1 species